UUUAGCAGCCAAACCACUUCUACAGAGGUAAAAUUAAGGAGAGAAUUACCAAAAUUAACAGAAUGUCACAAUGCUAGAGUAAGAAUGGUCACAAAAUAUCAUUAUUUUUUAUUAUAAGCUUCCAGCAUUGAAAAAAAUUAGUAGUUUGAAAUGUGAUGCAUACUAUCCAUCUUAUCUUGAAGAAACAUCCUUCUAACCUUGGUACGUGGUGCAUCAGUGUGAAAACAGGAGCUAUCCAAGAAGAGGGACAUCUCUACUCUGCAAGGAUGUGGUUUGAACCUGACUUUGCCAGAAUGAAUCUGCUACCCUGACAGUAGAGAUAGAAGUCAGUUAAUAGGUAACUUUCUUGCCAAGUAAUGGAUGAUGCAGGGCGGUGAUGUGAUGAAGCUGAAGAGAUGUGAUGAAAUUGAAGCUUGCCUCAGAAGAAAGGAGGGGAGUAACCUAGGGAGUGAAAGAUUGAAUAUGAGCGUACCUGUGGCACUUCAGGACGAUGCUGAUUUGACAAUAAGAUGAAAAGGUGCAGCUCUGUUUCCAUUUGCAGGUGAUUAUGUCAACAAUGUUCAGAAGAAUGUUGGGGGAUGAAAUGAAAUUGCUUGUUGAUAUGUAUGCUCUUGAUAAACAAAAAAAAGUAAUUUAU